rnacentral:rRNA from 2 species
ACGGAAGGCAGCAGUGGGGAAUAUUGCGCAAUGGGGGGAACCCUGACGCAGCAAUACCGCGUGAGUGAAGAAGGUUUUCGGAUCGUAAAACUCUUUUAUCGGGGAAGAUAAUGACGGUACCCGAUGAAGAAGUCCCGGCUAACUACGUGCCAGCAGCCGCGGUAAUACGUAGGGGACAAGCGUUGUCCGGAAUGACUGGGCGUAAAGGGCGCGUAGGCGGACUGAUAAGUCUGAUGUGAAAGGUCUCGGCUCAACCGAGGACAUGCAUUGGAAACUGUCAGCCUUGAGUACUGGAGAGGCAAGUGGAAUUCCUAGUGUAGCGGUGAAAUGCGUAGAUAUUAGGAGGAACACCGGCGGCGAAGGCGGCUUGCUGGACAGAUACUGACGCUGAGGCGCGAAAGCGUGGGGAGCAAACAGGAUUAGAUACCCUGGUA